rnacentral:tRNA from 1 species
AGGGGUGUAGCUCAGUGGUACAGCAUUUGCCUAGUAUGUAUGAGGCCCAGGUUUUGAUUCCCAGCACUCCAA